AGUCGGUGAGGUACCUUUUGGAGCCAGCCGCCUAAGGUGGGAUAGAUGAUUGGGGUGAAGUCGUAACAAGGUAGCCGUAUCGGAAGGUGCGGCUGGAUCACCUCCUUUCUAAGGAAUAUUACGGAACCCUACAGGUUUGUUCUUACUUUGCUCAGUUUUGAGAGGUUUACUCUCAANUUAGUUUGUUCAUUGAAAACUGGAUAUUGAAAUCAAAUUAACAUCAAAAAAACCGAGAACACCGCGUUGAAUGAGUUUUGAAACANUUAGUUCAAGCUGAUGAAAUGUAUUGAUGAAACGCUGGGUAUCGCUACCUAGACGCCAUCGACACACGAAAGUGUGUAUAAGGUUAAGUGAAUAAGGGCGCACGGUGGAUGCCUUGGCACUAGAAGCCGAUGAAGGACGGGACUAACUCCGAUAUGCUUUGGGGAGCUGUAAGUAAGCUAUGAUCCAGAGAUUUCCGAAUGGGGAAACCCAACAUCUUUGAUAGGAUGUUACUGCUUGCUGAAUACAUAGGCAAGUGGAGGUAGACGCAGAGAACUGAAACAUCUAAGUACCA
rnacentral:misc_RNA from 1 species